rnacentral:rRNA from 1 species
AACUACAUAAAUUUGAUGUAGGUUUAGAUAAAACGCUAAAUAGAGACAUAACACAUGCAUGUUUAUAUAUAUUAUAUAAUUAUAUUAAUAUAUAAUUUAUUUAUAUAAUAUUAAUUAUUAUUUUUAAUAAAUAUAUCGAUAUAGUAUUAAGUAGAUUAUUAUUAAUAAUAUUCAUUAAUUAAUGUAUAUAGAUAAUUAUAAUAUAAUUAUAAUAUAUAAGCGAUUAGGUGAGUAUAAUAAAGUUAAAUUAACUUUAAGAGAUGUAGGUAUUAGUAUUAAUUGACUAGCCAAAGACCUCUACUCCAUGGUGGAAGCCAUAAGGAGCACAUAGAUAUUAUAUCUACUACUAUUAGUAGCAGCAGUGGGGAAUUAUUGACAAUGAUCUAACGAUUGAUCAUGUUAUCUAUUAAAGAUUUUGUUUUAUUUAUAAUAUUUAUAAAUUAUUUAAUUAUAAUUAUUAUAUAUAAUUAUAUUUAUAUAUAAUCUACUAUAUAAAUAUAUAUAUAUAAUAUCUACAAAUAUAUUAACUCACAUUAAUAUAAUGUUAUAUUUUAUAUUUUAUAUAAAAUGAAAUAGAAAUAAAUAUUAUAUCAUAACAAAUAUAUCUUAAUAUAUUAAUUAAUAAUGAUAAUUAAUAAUAUUUAGUCCUUACUAAGAUGUGUGCCAGCAGUAGCGGUCAUACACACAGGGCAAGCGUUUAUCAUCCUUGGUAUAAAGGAUCCGUAGGCUUAAUAUCGAUUAUUAUUAUAAUCUUUUUAAUGGAUUAUAAUUAAUUAUUUUAUUUUUUAAUUAAUUUAAAAUAAGAUCUAUUUAUAUUAUUAUUUAUUAUUAUAUAAUAAAUAAUUUUAUUAUAAAUAUAUAUAAUAUAUAUUAAAUAAAUAUUAAUUUAUUAAAUAUUAAUUUAAUUAAUUAGUAAAUAUAAUAUAGAAUAAUCAUAGAAUCUUAUAAAUUUAAUAUGUAAAUUAUAUAAAGAGUUAAUAUGCUAUGACAUAUAAUAGACAGCAAAGAAGUUAAAUAAUAAGAUUGACGCUGAGGGAUGAAAGCUGUAAUAGUGACAUGGAUUCGGUACCCAUUUAACUGCAGCCGUAAACUAUGUAUAUCACGUAAAUCAUUUUCACUUAAUUUCACCAACCCUAAUACAAGUAUUAAUUAUAUAGUUUAUUCUUAUAAUUUUUAUACAUUAAAUAUAAUUUUAUUUAUAUCUAAUUAGAUUAAAAUAAUAAUAAAUUAUUAUUAUUUAAUAUUUAAUUAUCUUUUAUUAGUAAUAAUAAAUUAUUAUAAAUAAUUAAUAUUAAUUAUUAAAUAUAUAAAUUAUAUAUCAUUUAUAUAUUAAAAAUAAGUUAUAAAUAAAAAGAUAUAUAAAAAAUAAAUAAGAAUAUAUAAGAAAAUAUUAGGUUAUUAUAUAAAAGUAUAAUACUAGAUUAUUAAAGUUAAAAUAAUAUCAAUAUAUUAUAAUAUAUUAGACUAUAUUUAUAUAAAAUAUAUAAAUAUAAUAUAAAAUAAUAAAUUGUUUUUAAUGGAGAUAGUAUAAUUAUAUAAUAAAUGGAUAUAUUAGAAUUAAAAUUAGAUCUAAUUAUUAUAAGAUAAUAAAAUUUAGUCUAAGUAUUAUUAUAUUAUAAUAAAAUGUCUUAUACUAGUUUAAAAGUAAAUGAAUAAUUUUAAAGAUAUAUAAAAUUAAUAAUAUAAAAGUGUAAAUAUAAUAAUUUAUUAAUAUUUAAUUAUAAAAAAGAAAGAUAGAUAGUAAUAUAAAUAUAAUAAAUAUUAUAGGUGAAUAAUAAGAGAGAUUUGAGCAAAUUAACAUUAAGAAUAUACCACCAGACUAGUACGUUCGCAAGAAUGAAAUGUAAUACAUUAGACGGUUAUAUACCGAUACAGUGGAUCAUGCUGUUUAAUUGGACGAUACCCCAUAAAUCUUACCAUUUCUUGAAUAUAUUAUUUAAAUAUAUAUAAUUAAAUAUAUUAAAUAUAUUAAUUAUUAUUUUUAAUAAUUAUAAAUUAAUAAAUUUAUUAUUUAUAAAUAUAAAUAAUAUACAGGCGUUACAUUGUUGUCGUCAGUUCAUGCCAUCAUGGUUUAUUAUUAAGUUAUGUAAUGAACGAAAUCCUUGUUUAGAAUUUUAUUUUUAUAAAAUUUUAUAAAAUAGUAUAAUAGAGAUAUUAUAGUAAGUAAAGGUUAAAGACUAAUCCGCAUGACCCUUAUGAAAUGGGCUACAGGUGUGAUACGAAUUAACUAUUAAUUAUAUAUCUUAUAAAUAUAGAUAAAUAUGAAUUAGUUAAAUUAAGGAAUUAUAUCUUUAAAUGAAUUAAUACCUGAAACUCGGUAUUAUAAAAGAGGAACUGUCAGUAAUCAUAUUUUAGUAUAAUAUGGUGAAUUUGUCAUAUAUUUCGCACUAAUCACUCAUCAAUAGCACAGAUGGAUUUUAUAAAUAUUUAUAUCUUAAUUAUAUUUCUUAUAUUUAUAUAUUAUAUCUUUUAUAUAUAUAAUAUACGUAUAUUUAUUUAAUAUAUAUUAAUUAUUAAUAUGAUAUUAUUCUAUAUAUAUCUAAGUAUAUUUUAUAUUUAUAUAUAAAUGAAUUAUUAUAUAUAUAAUUAAUUAUUAUAAAAGUAUAUAUCGAUAUAAUAAUUAUAAUGUAUAAUAUAUUUAUAUUUAUAUAUUAAUAUAAUUAAUAUUAAUAAAAUAAAUUAAUCUAUAUAAUAGAUAUUAUCAGAUGAAUUAAAUAUUAAAAAAUAUAAAUUAAUAAAAUAAAAUUUUAUAUAAUAUGAAUAUACAAUUAUAAAUUAAUAUAAAUAAAUAAAAAUAUGAUGAUUAUAAUAAAAUAUAAAUUAUAUUUUAUAUAAGUGAAAAUAAAGAAUAUAAAAUAUAUAAAUAAAUUAUAAUAAGUUGAAUUAUUGAAAAAAGAUGAUUUAGACAUUUAAUAAAGUAAAUAAUAUAAACGAAAAAGAAUAUAAGAAAAGAAAUUAAAGAUUAAUAAAAAUAUUUAUUAGAAAUGAAAAAUAUGCUAUAAGUUGAAAUAUAGUUCGGGUAAGGGAACUUGCUCGGGGUUUAUAAAAAUA